rnacentral:rRNA from 1 species
AUGGCGGCAAGCAGCACAGUUUCGCCAGCUUCAGAGCUGACCGAAACAUCUGGCUCCACCUUGACACUAGGCGGGGUGCAGGUUAGUAACUUCACUUGGGAGUUAACCAUGUCCAUCGAGUCAUCUACUGCGCAAAGCUUACAUUUGAUCAUGCAUGCCGCGCAGGUGGUUAAUGAAGCUGUAGGGCUGGAUGCUCUCGUUUUCCCUGAUCCUUCAUCUGUAGUUGACAGUCUGGUCGAUGAGGCUAGUGUGAUGGCGCAAGGCGCAGGGGCCGAAGAAGAGGUUGUUUCCGGUGGUGCAUCAUUUGAAAAUGCUGAUCCGGACACGGAGAUCCCGCAGUGGUGGUUGGAGGAAGAGACAGCGGAUUUCGACCCUUGCAUGGCGCAUGCGGGGGCGGGUGUGGAGGUGAGCACACUGUCGCCCUGUACCGGCGCAUGUGUAUAUAACGUGCUCCCUGUGCCCAAGACUGCGGCACAGAGACAAGGCACCACUCCAUCUGGCGUUCGACGGGAGGAGAGGAACCAAAGUUUGCUGCUGGAGAUGGGGCGUCGGGCCAAGCUCUCCUCGCCUCCUGCUGUGCCAGACGGAGCUUCUUCCUCGACCAUGCAGGCCGCCAAGAAGGUGCCCACACUGAACACGGCGUACAAUGCCGGGCUGCUCCAUUCCAUCGUCGGAGAAUGGAAUCCAAACAUCAAAGGUGUGUUUUCCGGGGUAGGGAUGGAAGAAAUGUGCAAGAUAAAGGAUAUGGGGAACAACAACCGUAUCUUUAGCAUGUCCCUCUUAGCUAGGAUUGAUCCCAAAACCAUGAAGAUGGACAUGGGACAUGGAAAUUACAUUGAGGUGAACUCUAGGGAGGUAGCAAAGUGCUUAGGGUUGAAUCCAUGUGAACGCAAGCAAGGGGCCAUAGUAGGAGCAGAGAAAGAAAAGAUGAUGGUGGCGUGUACAAUCAUAGCCGCGUCCUCGUUUCUCCUACCUAGGGGAGCACACCCAAAAAUUGCCAAUGAACUGCUGCCCGUUCUAGCUGAGCCAAAUCAAAUCUCCGACUAUGAUUUCUGCGACUACGUCGUGGAGGGUCUAAGAGAGGGUGCGGCCAAGCUGAGGGAAGAUCUACUACAUGAGCCAGCUCAGCUUAGUCUGCAGGGGUGCCUUGUUGUCCCACAGAUCAUUUUUUGCGAUUAUCAUGAGCACGGGAUGGAGGGACGCGAGCUGCUGCCAUUCCCUCGGCUAGCAUCGUACUCGGAUAUGAUGUUGAAACUGCAGAUCAAAAAGCAUGCAGCAAGGAAUGGUGUGGAUGCUGGGUUUGAGGCUGCGGAUGUUCCCAGAUCGCCGGCAUUUAAUGUCGCUUCUGCUAGCCCGCCUCAAGCCCAAGCCUGGACCAUGCCGAGUCCUAGUGUGCAUGACGCUACCCCUGGAUUUGGUGUGGCCCAUGAGCCAGCGAUAAGUCAAGAGGUUCUUGACGCCAUGAAGGAAGCAAUGCAACAUUGCCUGAAGCAACGUGAGGAUGAAUUCCUCAAGAUGGUUGAGGAGACACCGGCCAAAGUGUUUGAAGAAAUCAGGAACAAGGUGGAUGCUAAACGGCACAGAGACCUCGAGGACACUCUUGGUGAUUUCAUGGAGCAUGUGAAGAAACAAGCUCCAAUGGCGGCAGCAUUUCCUAACGUGAGCAAGACCUCGCAUCGUCCCAGGACGAUGACAGCAUGCAUGCAUGCGCGAGCGCUAGGCACCGAUUUGUUUGAUCCUGCAUGCAUGCAAUGCAUGGGCCAUACAUGCAUGCGAUGCGUGGGGCAUGGAAGCGUGGGCGUGUUCGGGUGUCUUGAUGUGGCCCUUGAUUACCAUGGCCCGAACAAAGUUGAUUUGGAUCUCGUUUAUUUCUUAGCUGUUGCCCAAGAUCUGGCUGAAACUUCACGCGAAGCUGCGAGGUCUCUGAUGUCAGUGGUUGUUGCUAACAAGGAGACACGUGUCCAACCAGAAUCUCAUGGUCUGGCUGCUGCAACCAGAGGGGUGCAAGGACCUCACCUGAAUGCAUGCCCUGGGGUGCUUGUGGGUUUGCUUGGCAAAGAAACAGCUGUCCAGGAGCCUGUUGAUGAACUAGAGGACAAGCCUAUGAUUGUGGAUCGCAAAGGAAAGGGGCCGGCUAUUGACGUGGUCUACCGCAGGUGCAGUAGACAGACAACCAUGCAUGAGGUGCUUGGCGUGGCAGGUUCUUCCUCUAGAGAUCAUGUGCCUGUCCAUCAUCCGGUGGUUGCGUCCGUAGACACUGAUAUGACCGAAGCAGUUGUGCCGGAUGCUUUGCAGAUGCAAAAUGAUGGGCUUGCAGGAAUUGCCACGACCACACCAAUAGGGAACAGGAGUCAGGUAGCUGAUCGUGUCCCCGCUGACGUGCUUGCAGCGGUUGUUCCUGCUUUGCCACCUGCACGUGAUUACGGCUACUCUCCAUUUGAGCUGGAUCUACAACAUUUUUUCUACCCUAACCACGUAUGCCUGGAUUUGUACAAGAGCGUUGAACUUCUCAGUCAGGCUUCUGAGCUCAGCAGGACUUGGUUCGAGCAUCACACCCCCACGGUGCUACGGAUAGAUGGGCAUAAGAUGAAGUACCAAUUCAGUUUGCAUGGUGAGAUGAUGUACAAUGGCCUUGACGCCUCGGUGCGUGGCUGGAACGACAGGGAGAGGAGCAUGAUGCAGAGAGUUGAUCUCCCAAACUGGAGAGGAUUGCUACCACCUGAUGUUGUGCUCCACAUUGAAAAUAUUGAUACUGACAACGCCCGUGUUGUGCUCAUUGCGAUGCUUUCCAUGCCCAAGCUUGGUUUCCCACUCUGCAUGUGUCGUCUGCUCUUGUUCCCUCUGUGGCUUGCUAACGACUGGUCCCUGUACGCCUUCGACAUGGAGCUGACCAGGGUCACGGUGAUGGACCCAUUGUACACGCAGGUGGGGUCACUAGUGUACGAGAGGAAGCACGGGGCGACCGUGCACAUGCUGCUUAAAGGGCUCAAAAUCCUGGGGACCAUCCUGUUUGACGGUUGGGAGAUGGAUAUCUCCAAAUGGACUGUUCGGUACAACAUUGAUAUGCACAUAGCUUGUGGCAGCGGUGAAUCGCCUGGCUACAUUGCGCACUAUGCGGACAACUUCAAUGCUUACGAGCUGGAGGAAGCCAUUCCUGAAGUUGGUCUUCCCCUGCGUCGGAAAAGGAUGCUCUAUGAGACAAUUGCCUGCUCGGGCAACACUGCUCCUCACCCAGGAUUCAUGGAGGAAGUGGAGUUUACUCCCAUAAAAUCACCGUGGAUGGCUCUGGAAGCAGCUCCCUUGGCACGUGACGGGUCUGCCAUGCAGAGGCGUUGGGCUGCCACAAGCAGGUCGCCGGUGCUGUACAGGGUAGGUCCUCUUGACUACGAACCAGCGACGCCAUGCUGGUGCAAGGAGAGACCCAAGGCCGCCAUGUGGAUCUCCUGGAGCGAUGAUAACCCUGGAAGAAGAUACAAGACAUGCGCCAAGUCGCGGACUGGAGGCUGUGAAAUGUACGUGUGGCAUGACGAUCGUAUUGAGGAUCCGUUCCUCAAACAACUCCUCAUUGAUCUCCGCGACAGGGUGCGUCACUUAGAGAGGAUCAACUCAGAGUUACGAGAUGCGGCAAGUGUGGUGGCACAACACCGCUCUACCCAGCUAGAACUACCUCCUGCUCCUAUAGACAAUUUAGCUAUGAAUCAAGGACCUGGCUAUGUCAAGGGGUUUGCACUGUUCAUGCUGCUGGCAGCAUUCUGUUGCAAGUGCUUCUUCGGUUAG